rnacentral:tRNA from 1 species
GUGGCUAUGGCGCAGCGGCUAGCGCAUCUGACUGUGGCUCAGAGGGUCGUGGGUUCAAAUCCCACUAGCCACCCCA